rfam:Oryza brachyantha chromosome 10, whole genome shotgun sequence.
GAAAGUCGUAUGCUUUGGAAGAAGCUCGUACAGUUUGGGAAGGGGUUUUUUGAGUGAAAAGAAGAAUCUACUUCAAC